CACACACACACACACACACACACACUCUCUCUGAAGGAAAGAAAACCAGCUUUCCUCCUCGAGUGGGGCAGGAGUCCGUUUAAUCUCCAGCACAAGCUGCAUCGAGUAAUUCAUCGCCAGAUGUUUCUCGUGAGGAGCUGAUGCCGCUUUCUGACGGACUGUAGAGGCUCGUGAAUGAAGAUGUUGAGAGAUCUGAACAUCAUAAAUCCAUAAGGAGCUUCAUUCAUCUGCGGACUGAGGCCGGCCGUCAGUGUGGAGUAACUGUGGAGGGAACAGCGUGUGCGUGCGUGUGUUUCCAUGCCCUGUUCGUGCGGGCGGGCGGCUCGAGUCUCAGGGAUGGAGCUUCAGGUUUGGACGGUUGGGACCCACUGGAUACCACUGCUGCUUCUGCUGGGUGUGCUGUGGCUGCGCUCGUCCG